CCUUGUACACACCGCCCGUCACACCAUGGGAGUGAGCAACACCCGAAGCCGGUCGCCUAACCCACUUGUGGGAGGGAGCCGUCGAAGGUGGGGCUCGUGACCGGGGUG
rnacentral:rRNA from 1 species